UACGAAGGGGGGCUAGCGUUGUUCGGAUUUACUGGGCGUAAAGCACACGUAGGCGGAUCGUUAAGUCGGGGGUGAAAUCCUGGAGCUCAACUCCAGAACUGCCUUCGAUACUGGCGAUCUUGAGUCCGGAAGAGGUGAGUGGAACUCCUAGUGUAGAGGUGGAAUUCGUAGAUAUUAGGAAGAACACCAGUGGCGAAGGCGGCUCACUGGUCCGGUACUGACGCUGAGGUGCGAAAGCGUGGGGAGCAAACAGG
rnacentral:rRNA from 1 species